rnacentral:rRNA from 1 species
GAUGAACGCUGGCGGCGUGCCUAAUACAUGCAAGUCGAGCGAACGGACGAGAAGCUUGCUUCUCUGAUGUUAGCGGCGGACGGGUGAGUAACACGUGGAUAACCUACCUAUAAGACUGGGAUAACUUCGGGAAACCGUAGCUAAUACCGGAUAAUAUUUUGAACCGCAUGGUUCAAAAGUGAAAGACGGUCUUGCUGUCACUUAUAGAUGGAUCCGCGCUGCAUUAGCUAGUUGGUAAGGUAACGGCUUACCAAGGCAACGAUGCAUAGUCGACCUGAGAGGGUGAUCGGCCACACUGGAACUGAGACACGGUCCAGACUCCUACGGGAGGCAGCAGUAGGGAAUCUUCCGCAAUGGGCGAAAGCCUGACGGAGCAACGCCGCGUGAGUGAUGAAGGUCUUCGGAUCGUAAAACUCUGUUAUUAGGGAAGAACAUAUGUGUAAGUAACUGUGCACAUCUUGACGGUACCUAAUCAGAAAGCCACGGCUAACUACGUG